GGGUUAGUAGGUUGGUCAUGCCUCUGGUAUGUACUGGUCUCACUGAUUCCUCCUUUCUGACGAACUAUAAUGCCAUUAAUUUGGUGUUAUGGGGAAUCAGGACUGUUACUUUGAAAAAAUUAGAGUGUUUAAAGCAAGCUUACGCUUGAAUACAUUAGCAUGGAAUAAUGAAAUAGGACAUCAUAUUCUAUUUUGUUGGUUUCUAGGAUCGAUGUA
rnacentral:rRNA from 1 species